rnacentral:lncRNA from 1 species
GCAGGAUUUUUUAUCGUUAUUUAUUCAUAUGGAAUGGGUUAAUGUUUCAGCACAUCAAAUUCUUUCCUUCAUCAAACAUCUGAGUGCAUACAUGUGUCAACCAUUCUACAAACAAAGAAAGAUAGUCUCCCGACAAUAGCGAAAAAUCAAGGACCCCACAUUAUUACCUGACUUUUGAAAAGCAUUAUGAACAGUCAUGUGGGCAUUCCUCUCUAAACCAGACCCAGACCCAACCCCUGUCCUGCUGGAAAGGAAACCUCCUUUUAGUUUAAUGCCUAGUUUAAUGUGUUCUCUGAUGCUCUGAUCUGCAAGUGAAUACUUCAAAGAUGGCUGCUAUUUCCUCAGACAUUUUUUUUGAUUCUUGUUUCUC